CUUUGAACGCAAGUUGCGCCCGAGGCCCCACGGCCGAGGGCACGUCUGCCUGGGCGUCACGCGUCGUCGCCUCCGAUCCCCUCGCCCGGCGAGGGUGGGGGCGGAUGCUGGCCUCCCGUGCGCUCCCGCUCGCGGUCGGCCUAAAAUCGAGUCCCGGGCGGCGGUCGCCACGACGAGCGGUGGUUGAGAGACCCUCGAGAGCGGUCGUGCGCGUCCCCCGUCGCCCCCAGGGAUCUCCCGGACCCUCGAGCAUCGGCUCCCCCGGGAUGCUCUGGUUGCGACCCCAGGUCAGGCGGGACUACCCGCUGAGUUUAAGCAUAUCAAUAAGCGGAGGAAAAGAAACUUACGAGGAUUCCCCUAGUAACGGCGAGCGAACCGGGAAGCGCCCAGCUUGAGA
rnacentral:rRNA from 1 species